GGAGCUGUUUGCGCGUUUCUGGUUUUGGGAAUUGGGUUAUGCCGCGUAGUUUUUGGGGAUUUGGUCUAACUUGUCCGGGGCUCACGGUAAAACCUAGGAAUUCCAUUUCUGGUGCGGAAAUGGACACGUCAUCGAUGUAGAUCGUUACUCCCUCUUCCAAUAAAUCGCCAAGGGCGUUCGUCAGUCCCGCCUGCAUUGUACACGGCCCACCUGAUAGACCAAAAGGCAUUCUCUCAUGUUCGUAUUUUUUAUAUCCCACCGAAUAUGCCGUGUAAUGCUUGUGCUCUUCGUUCAUUGGGAUUUGGUGAAAGGCACUCUUUAUGUCCAAAAUGUAUUUUCUUGGAAGUUUCCGGCAAUCUGAACUGUUUCACGUUUAUCACUCCAGUUCCGGGCUUGAGAUGUAUGCUGUGGACCGCUAUCUCUGACUUUGCCAGUUUAUCUCCCUCCAGGUUAUGAAGUAUGAUUUCGGCUCUUGAUGUCUCCGGUGGAAUCUGCAUGAGAAGCGCGGCGAUACUUUUUAAACCGGGGCGACGAUAAAGAAAAAAAAAAAUUUUAAAAAAAAUAUUCUACACUUUGUGUUUCGAUGUCCGAGGG